rnacentral:rRNA from 1 species
UACGUAGGGUGCAAGCGUUAAUCGGAAUUACUGGGCGUAAAGCGUGCGCAGGCGUCUUGCAAGACAGAUGUGAAAUCCCCGGGCUCAACCUGGGAACUGCAUUUGUGACUGCAAGGCUGGAGUACGGUAGAGGGGGAUGGAAUUCCGCGUGUAGCAGUGAAAUGCGUAGAUAUGCGGAGGAACACCGAUGGCGAAGGCAAUCCCCUGGACCUGUACUGACGCUCAUGCACGAAAGCGUGGGGAGCAAACAGG